GGUUCGCGGGCACCCUGGCGGGCGCAUGCCUGCUGCUGGCGGGAAUCGUCCGGCUCCGGGCCGGACGCGGGCCGC
rnacentral:tRNA from 1 species